CAGGAUGAACGCUAGCGACAGGCCUAACACAUGCAAGUCGAGGGGCAGCACAAGGAGCAAUCUGAGGUGGCGACCGGCGCACGGGUGAGUAACACGUAUGCAACCUGCCUGUAAGCGGGGAAUAACCCGUUGAAAGACGGACUAAUACCGCAUAAUACUAAAUUACUGCAUGGUAAUUUAUUUAAACAUUUAUGGCUUACAGAUGGGCAUGCGCAUGAUUAGCUAGUUGGAGAGGUAACGGCUCCCCAAGGCAACGAUCAUUAGGGGUUCUGAGAGGAAGGUCCCCCACACUGGUACUGAGACACGGACCAGACUCCUACGGGAGGCAGCAGUGAGGAAUAUUGGUCAAUGGACGAGAGUCUGAACCAGCCAAGUCGCGUGCAGGAAGAAUGUCCUUAAUGGAUUGUAAACUGCUUUUGCAGGGGAAUAAAGUGCAUCACGUGUGAUGUUUUGUAUGUACUCUGCGAAUAAGGAUCGGCUAACUCCGUGCCAGCAGCGGC
rnacentral:rRNA from 1 species